CUUGUUAGAAGUUCGGUUAAGUUCAUCCCCUCCUGGGAUAACACCGAACUACCCCACAUCGUAUGGG
rnacentral:sRNA from 1 species